UACGGAGGGGGCAAGCGUUAUUCGGAAUCAUUGGGCGUAAAGGGCGCGUAGGCGGCUUGGCAAGUCAAAGGUGAAAUCCCUCGGCCCAACCGAGGAACUGCCUUUGAUACUGCCUGGCUCGAGGCCGGGAGAGGGUAGCGGAAUUCCCAGUGUAGCGGUGAAAUUCGUAGAUAUCGAGUGGAACACCGGUGGCGAAGGCGGCUUUCUGGACAGGUACUGACGCUGAGACGCGAAAGCGUGGGGAGCAAACAGG
rnacentral:rRNA from 1 species